rnacentral:rRNA from 1 species
AUCGAACGCUGGCGGCAGGCCUAACACAUGCAAGUCGAACGAGUGGCGGAAGGGUGAGUAAUGUCUGGGAAACUGCCUGAUGGAGGCGGAUAACUACUGGAAACGGUGGCUAAAACCGCUUAACAUCGGUUGUGCCCAGAUGGGAGUAGCUAGUAGGUGGGGUAAAGGCUCACCAAGGCGACGAUGCCUAGCUGAUCUGAGAGGGGGAGCGGCCACACUGGAACUGAGACACGGUCCAGACUCCUACGGGAGGCAGCAGUAGGGAAUCUUGGGCAAUGGGCGCAAGUCUGAUACAGCAAUGCCGCGUGUGUGAAGAAGGUCUUCGGAUUGUAAAAUUCUGUCGUCAGGGAGGCGUUACCCAAAGAGGAAGCACCGGCUAACUCCGUGCCAGCAGCCGCGGUAAUAC